GAAUAUUGGACAAUGGGGGGAACCCUGAUCCAGCCAUGCCGCGUGUGUGAAUAAGGCCUUUUGGUUGUAAAGCACUUUAAGCGAGGAGGAGGAGCUCUUGGUUAAUACCCAAGAUGCUUGGACGUUACUCGCAGAAUAAGCACCGGCUAACUCUGUCCCAGAGGCCGCGGGAAGACAGAGGGUGCAAGCGUUAAUCGGAUGUACUGGGCGUAAAGCGCGCGUAGGUGGACAAUUAAGGCAAAUGGGAAAUCCCCGAGCUUAACGGGGGAAUUGCAUUCGAUACUGGGUGGCUAGAGUAUGGGAGAGGAUGGUAGAAUUCCAGGUGUAGCGGUGAAAUGCGUAGAGAUCUGGAGGAAUACCGAUGGCGAAGGCAGCCAUCUGGCCUAAUACUGACACUGAGGUGCGAAAGCAUGGGGAGCAAACA
rnacentral:rRNA from 1 species